GGGUGGUAAUGCCGGAUGCUCCAGUUGACCGCAUGGUCCUCUGGGAAAGCUUUUGCGGUAUGGGAUGGGGUCGCGUCCUAUCAGCUUGAUGGCGGGGUAACGGCCCACCAUGGCUUCGACGGGUAGCCGGCCUGAGAGGGCGACCGGCCACAUUGGGACUGAGAUACGGCCCAGACUCCUACGGGAGGCAGCAGUGGGGAAUAUUGCACAAUGGGCGCAAGCCUGAUGCAGCGACGCCGCGUGCGGGAUGACGGCCUUCGGGUUGUAAACCGCUUUUGACUGGGAGCAAGCCCUUCGGGGUGAGUGUACCUUUCGAAUAAGCACCGGCUAACUACGUGCCAGCAGCCGCGGUAAUACGUAGGGUGCAAGCGUUAUCCGGAAUUAUUGGGCGUAAAGGGCUCGUAGGCGGUUCGUCGCGUCCGGUGUGAAAGUCCAUCGCUUAACGGUGGAUCCGCGCCGGGUACGGGCGGGCUUGAGUGCGGUAGGGGAGACUGGAAUUCCCGGUGUAACGGUGGAAUGUGUAGAUA
rnacentral:rRNA from 1 species